rnacentral:rRNA from 1 species
GAUGAACGCUGACAGAAUGCUUAACACAUGCAAGUCCACUUGAACUUCGGUUUGGGUGGCGGACGGGUGAGUAACGCGUACAGAACUUGCCUCACAGAUAGGGACAACAUUUGGAAACGAAUGCUAAUACCUGAUAUUAUGAUUAUAUGGCAUCGUAUAAUUAUGAAAGCUAUAUGCGCUGUGAGAGAGCUUUGCGUCCCAUUAGCUAGUUGGAGAGGUAACGGCUCACCAAGGCGAUGAUGGGUAGCCGGCCUGAGAGGGUGAUCGGCCACAAGGGGACUGAGACACGGCCCUUACUCCUACGGGAGGCAGCAGUGGGGAAUAUUGGACAAUGGACCAAGAGUCUGAUCCAGCAACUCUGUGUGCACGAUGAAGUUUUUCGGAAUGUAAAGUGCUUUCAGUUGGGAAGAAAAAAAUGACGGUACCAACAGAAGAAGUGACGGCUAAAUACGUG